AAAGGGAGACCUAAUUCGGGUAGGAGACGAAAAAAAAGUAGUCCCUACCAAGAAUCAAUCCCAAAAGGUCGGAGCGAGGCGAAAUUGGCUUUCAAACUAGGUUCUGGGUUCACACAAGACCUGAAUCAGGAACAAGGGCUAUUAGCUCAGGUGGUUAGAGCGCACCCCUGAUAAGGGUGAGGUCCCUGGUUCGAGUCCAGGAUGGCCCACCUGCACAGGUGGCAAAAAGAAAGAAAAGAAGCGAGGAAUCAGCACCUUAUCUUACUUAUAUAGUAAGAGAGAAUGCUGGCUCUGAGUUCGGAGUCCAGAGGAACCUUGAAAACUGCAUAGAGCUAGGUGAAAAAGCCAAAAAAGAAGACCGCAAG
rnacentral:tRNA from 1 species